rnacentral:misc_RNA from 1 species
CUGUGAGCGGGCUUGCUCGCGAAUGCGGUGUGUCAGCGGACCGUUCCAUCACUGAUACACCGCAUUCGCGAGCAAGCCCGCUCCCAC